rnacentral:lncRNA from 1 species
AAUUAUUAGAAAAACAAUAUAUACAAAAAAGUAAUAGUAAACAUAAUAGUCCAGCAUUUAUAGUAAAUAAACAUAGUGAACAAAAAAGAGGAAAAAGUAGGAUGGUUAUUGACUAUAGAAAUUUAAAUGCAAAAACUAUAACAUAUAAUUAUCCGAUACCAAAUAAGAUAUUAAAAAUAAGACAAAUCCAAGGAUAUAAUUAUUUUAGCAAAUUUGAUUGUAAAUCAGGAUUUUACCACCUAAAGCUAGAAGAAGAAUCUAAAGAAUUAACCGCAUUUACGGUACCACAAGGAUUUUAUGAAUGGAACGUGUUACCAUUUGGAUAUAAAAAUGCACCAGGUAGAUAUCAACAUUUUAUGGAUAAUUAUUUUAAACAAUUAUCUAAUUGUAUAGUAUACAUAGAUGAUAUAUUAUUAUACACCAAAACCAAAGAAGAACAUUUAAAAUUAUUAGAACAAUUCACAGAUAUAAUAGAAAAAUCAGGAAUAAGUCUAAGCAAAAAGAAAGCUGAAAUUAUGAAAAACCAGAUAGAAUUUUUAGGAAUACAAAUAGAUAAAAGUGGAGUAAAAAUGCAACAACAUAUAGUACAAAAAAUAAUAAAUUCGAAAGAAGAAUUAGAUACAAAAAAGAAAUUACAAUCAUUUUUAGGAUUAGUAAACCAAGUAAGAGAAUAUAUUCCAAAAUUAGCAGAAACCUUAAAACCACUGCAGAAAAAAUUAAAAAAGGAUAUAGAAUAUAAUUAUGAUGAAAAAGAUAAAAAACAAGUUCAAAAAAUAAAAUUACUUUGUAGAGAAUUACCAAAAUUGCAAUUUCCAGAUGAAAAUAGAAAAUUUAUAUAUAUAGUAGAAGCAGAUGCAAGUGAAUAUAGUUACGGAGGAGUACUUAAAUAUCGAUAUGAAGCAGAAAAAAUAGAACACCAUUGUAGAUACUACUCAGGUACGUUCAACGAGACAGAAAUAAAAUGGGAAAUAAAUAGGAAAGAAUUAUGUUCAUUAUAUAAAUGUUUAUUAGCAUUUGAGCCAUAUAUUGUAUAUAACAAAUUUAUUGUACGAACAGAUAAUACACAGGUACGCUGGUGGUUAACAAAGAAAAUACAAAAUUCAGUUACAACAAAAGAGAUUCGAAGACUAGUUUUAAAUAUAUUAAAUUUCACAUUUACAAUUGAAGUGAUCAGUACUAACAAAAAUGUUAUUGCAGAUUACAUAUCAAGACAAAGCUACACAGACUGAAAUAGUAGAGGAAGAUACUCUAGAAAAAAUACUUAACACCCUAACUACGCUUUCAAUGAAAGUGGACAGUAUGGGUAAUGAGAUAGAAAAGCUAAAGACUAAUGAAGAUAAACUGAAGUCUAUAGCUACAAAUCAGCUAACUCAGCAAUGUGCAGAGCUAUGUCGAUCGAAAGACAUUAAAAAUCCAGAGCUAGAAGGAGACGUUGGGACACUCCAUAAAACCCAUAACAUUUAUCAAUCUACUUCUGCAGGUACAAGCAAAGGAGUUAAUAGACCAAGAUACCAGAAUGUAAAUAUGAACAAAAUAUUUGAAAAACCAUUUACCCCAAAAGCACAAAAAGACCAUUUAUUCAUACCCCCACAAGUUAACACAUACCGAGACAGCCUAAACCAAGACAAGAAAAUAUACAACUACACAGCCCAAAAAUACAUAGAAAAUAUAUAUAGAGUCCAAACCUUUCUAAACCAUAACCCCAGAGCUACAAAUAUCCAAGAACCAAAUACCAAUUAUAAUACCCACGAUGGAGAAGAACUAACAGCUAUGGAGGAAUUAUACAAGAUAUUCACUACCUAUAAAAGAAUAACAAAAGGAAAUUUAUUUUAUAUAAAGUGUUAUACUGCACCAGCAGAGAUAUUAUAUGAUGAAAUAAAACCAGUUAUACAAGUCGUAAAGAUAGGACUAACAAGAGAUAUGAUUAUUCCAGAAGAUAUUACGCAACAACCGUCAGAAAAAUAAAAAAUAGAAUUUGAAGUAAAGGAAGAAGUGCAAAAAGCAGACAUAAUAUUAGUAACAAAAUGGUUAGAACAAGUAAAACCAUACAAUAGAUAACAUGCACAAUUAUCUAUAACAUACAAUAAAGUAAGAUUAUUCAUAAAAAGAAAUUUAACAUGAUAUAAAAAUAUAUGUAUUUGUAAAAAUAAUAAUAAUAGAAGGAUAUUAUAAUAGGUAUUAUACAUCUAUAAUAGAUAUAGGAGCAGAAGCAAACUUAUGUAGAUACAAUUGUUUACCAGAAAGUAAAUGGGAUAAAUUAAAAAACACCAAUAGUAGUCAAAGAAAUUAAUAAUGAAGGAAGCUUAAUUACAAAUAAAGCUAAAAAUGUAAAAAUACAGAUAUGAGAUAAAAUAAUAACGAUAGAAGAAAUCUAUAAUUAUGAACUAACAUCAAAAGAUAUGCUUUUAGGAAUGCCAAUUUUAGAUAAAUUAUACCCACAUAUAAUAACUAAAAUAGAUUGGUGGUUUGAAACACCAUGUAAACAAAACGUAAGAGCAAAAAGAGUUAUUAAUAAAAUAAGAAAGAAAACUGACUGGAUAGAAGGAAGUGAAAAAUUACACAAAAGUUAAAAAUAUAAAAAAAAAAAUACAAAAGACACAGUAGAACUAGUCGUAUUUUCGAUAAAUAAAAAAGAAAUAACUAUAUUUUCAAUAUAUAAGAUAGAAAUAAUAAAGAAAAAAUUAAGACAAUUAUAUAGUGAAGAUCCAUUAAAAGGAUGGAAAAAAACACAAAACUACUAUAAAAAUUGAAUUAAGAGAUAAAAAUAGCAUAAUAACCCAGAAACCAUUAACAUAUAAUUUUGACGAUUUAAAAGAAUUUAAAAUGCAUAUAGAUGAAUUAUUAGAAAAACAGUAUAUACAAAAAAGUAAUAGUAAACACAAUAGUCCAACAUUUAUAGUAAAUAAAUAAUGUGAACAAAAAAGUAGUAAAAGUAGAAUGGUUAUUGAUUAUAGAAAUUUAAAUGCAAAAACUAUGACAUAUAAUGAUCCAAUAGCAAAUAAGAUAUUAAAAAUAAGACAAAUACAAGGAUAUAACUAUUUUAGUAAAUUUGACUGUAAAUUAGGAUUUUACCACCUAAAGCUAGAAGAAGAAUCUAAAGAAUUAACCGCAUU